rnacentral:rRNA from 1 species
UACGUAGGUGGCGAGCGUUGUCCGGAUUUAUUGGGCGUAAAGCGCGCGCAGGUGGUGCGGUAAGUCUGUCGUGAAAUCUCCUGGCUCAACUGGGAGGGUGCGGUGGAGACUGCCGGACUGGAGGCACUCAGAGGCCGGUGGAAUUCCCGGUGUAGUGGUGAAAUGCGUAGAGAUCGGAAGGAACAUCAGUGGCGAAGGCGACUGUCUGGACAGAUACUGACGCUGAGGCGCGAAAGCGUGGGGAGCAAACAGG